CUUUCUGAAAUUCAUUAUUAAAUCCAUGACUAUUUUCAUGCUAAGACAUCAUAAUCAUGUUCUCAUAAAGGAUAUGAAGAUUCACGCCUUGAUAACUAAGUUGGAUUUACGGUGAGAAAGGGUGUGGUUGGUUUUUGGCUAAUUACAAUGAAGACAAUUGAAAUACUGGCAGAGGUGGUAAGAACCCGAUUUACAAUAAUAUACACAUUUUGAACCACGGGGUGUCAGCCCAGUGGCCACUGGCACCCAUCUAAAACCGGUUCGGGAGUCCAAAGUGGUGCAGGUUCGAAUCCUGCUUGCAGGCUCUUCGCUCCCCUCGAACUCGGCUGGGUAGUCACUACCAGACAUCGUUGCCGAGUCAUUAGCUUGGGAAGGGAGAUCCCUUCCGCAGUCAGCAGUGCCGUGCAAUUACCCUUCCUUUCACAUUUUGUAAAAUUUAAAGUAUCGUUUAUGAGUACUGAAAAGAUAUUAUCAGAUCAGUGAUAUAAGAUUUUUUUGAAUAAAACGAUUAAAAACAUUUUAAGUAUUCGAAUACUUUUGACCCAAUUGUCAUUUCACUUUUUUGCUUCUUUAAUAAUAAAACAUGUUACUCGGUUGACCUGUUUCGAUAAAGUAUGACUAUAAUUUAUUGUUUUCAUGAUUAUAUGUAAAAUGUAAUUUCAGUCAUAAUGUAAUUAGAAAUUUAUAAUGUAUAUAUAUUCAAUCCGUGUAAAACACGGGUCUAUAAACUAGUGUGUAAUAUAUCAUUGGAGAAUGCUGAAAUCACUUUGCUCAACCAAGUUAAUGCUUCAAAUUCAAAGCUUGAUGUCACAAUUAAGGUCCAUAUAAUUAAGCUUUGGAAGCUACCUUCUUUCAAAGUAAAAGAUAUUACACAUUCAGUUGACGUAAUACUUAUGGAUGAAGAGGGUACAAAGAUUUAAGCCACUGUUAUGGGUAACUAUCUAAGCAAACAUGGGAAAUUCCUCAUGGAGAGAGAAUGUGUCCUCAUUAAGGGUGUUCGGUGUGGCUUUCGGUAAACCCACUUUACCGAUUCGGUAAAGUGUGGCAAACCAAUGCCAACCUUUUGCCACAUGAAGUGUUUGACGAAAUGGGUUUAAAAUCGGUGAGGCUUUACCGAUGCGGGAAAGGAGAAAGGAAAGAGAGAGGGAGUGUGGGGUGGG
rnacentral:lncRNA from 1 species